UACAGGGGGGGCAAGCGUUGUUCGGAAUUACUGGGCGUAAAGGGUUUGUAGGUGGCCACUUAAGUCAGACGUGAAAUCCCUCAGCUUAACUGGGGAACUGCGUCUGAUACUGCGUGGCUUGAGUGCAGGAGAGGAACGCGGAAUUCCAGGUGUAGCGGUGAAAUGCGUAGAUAUCUGGAGGAACACCGGUGGCGAAGGCGGCGUUCUGGACUGCAACUGACACUGAGGAACGAAAGCCAGGGGAGCAAACGGG
rnacentral:rRNA from 1 species